AGUGAACGCUGGCGGUAGGCCUAACACAUGCAAGUCGAACGGCAGCACAGUAAGAGCUUGCUCUUACGGGUGGCGAGUAGCGGACGGGUGAGGAAUACAUCGGAAUCUACUUUUUCGUGGGGGAUAACGUAGGGAAACUUACGCUAAUACCGCAUACGACCUACGGGUGAAAGCAGGGGAUCUUCGGACCUUGCGCGAUUGAAUGAGCCGAUGUCGGAUUAGCUAGUUGGCGAGGUAAAGGCCCACCAAGGCGACGAUCCGUAGCUGGUCUGAGAGGAUGAUCAGCCACACUGGAACUGAGACACGGUCCAGACUCCUACGGGAGGCAGCAGUGGGGAAUAUUGGACAAUGGGCGCAAGCCUGAUCCAGCCAUACCGCGUGGGUGAAGAAGGCCUUCGGGUUGUAAAGCCCUUUUGUUGGGAAAGAAAAGCAGCAGGUUAAUACCCCGCUGUUCUGACGGUACCCAAAGAAUAAGCACCGGCUAACUUCGUG
rnacentral:rRNA from 1 species